AGCAGUCAGGAAGCAGCACUGGCGGUGGGGGGAAGGACAUAGAAACGUCUGCGAAUGAAUCCAAACUCAAAAAUUGUUCUCCAAUGUCAUAGGAGCAGCAGGCCUGGCUCCUGCCCAGGAGGCACCUGGCCUAGAUCUCAGCGUCACUGCGGAGUUAACCAAGGGAAGCGGCACCAGCAUCACACCCUGUUCCAGCCAACAGUCUCCAGCGUCCCUGACAGAUGUCGGGAAGUUCUUUUCCCCGUAAGAUCCCGGAGAAUGUCCUGAGGCUGCCGUGUGGAAGCUCUGGGGCCUUUCUCGUCUCCCACUGCCAGCUUAAUGAGCUGUGCUGGUAGCAACAGAUGGCGCCCCGCAGGGUCUCACUUGGAUAGCUUGGAAAGUUCCUGGACACCAGUUGGACUUGCCGCGAAAACCAUUAAUCUGGCCUUUCAGAGAAAAUCUUCAGAAGAAUGUAUUUGCAAGAAUCUCAGGUCUGACAUGGAAGAAGUUUUGAUGACUUACUGCCAACUUUGUAUCACCCCCAAAAUGCUUUAGAGAAAUAUCUCUCUACAGAGGAAAGCAAGGAACUGUGACUUUAACUAGUGAAUUGGAUCAACGUGUCCAGCUAAUUCAGCCAGAUUGCUGCACAACUGAUUCCACUUCUGCAGCAACUGCCAUCCAUCACCAGGACUGCUCUGCCUGGGGACAGCCAGGCCACAGCCCUGCUGACGUCUGCAUGGGUCUUGGACGUGGUCUAGGGCCAGAACGCAGUGAUGAAGCUGGUGGUUUGUAGAGGCUUUUACUACAAGUAACAUCCCUCAUUUGAUGAAAUAGAUAUCUUUCUGCCAACUUGGCUCUGUCACUGAAACCUGGUGUUUUUGUCUGGUAAUUCUUCAAAUUUGAUGUUUUAAAGAAUGUUAAGUGAAUUAAUUCCUCCUUUUUGUCAGUGCUAUAAGUUCCAUACAGAGUUUGCUCAGUCUGAAGUACAUCUGUAUUAAUUAGACAAACUAAAGCAUUGGGUGGAUCUAAACGGUUCCUUUUAAUGAUUUUUCUCCACGAUGACAAGGCACACUAUACAAACAACCACCUGAUUUUAGCAAGAGGGCUAAAAAUUAUAUUGCAUAAAUGGAGUUGCAUUAUUUAAACUUAAAUUCAGGCCAGGUGCGGUGGCUCACGCCUGUAAUCCUAGC
rnacentral:lncRNA from 1 species